UAUUUAUAAAAUAUUAUCUAAAAUUAAAUAUAAAAAUAUAUAUAAUAGCUCAACAUAUAAAAUAUAUGUAUGAACACGAUAUUAUAAUAUUAAAAAAAUAUUUUAGGGGAAGCGACUAUGUGACCAAGUGAAAGAGAGGGCGAGACAGUAAUUAGAGUAUGGUUUUGCUGGUUUGAUUUUAUGAGCCAGUAAAUAUGCCCAAUAACGAAAAUUCGGCAUAAUAUAAUUAAAAUACAUAAAAAAAUAUAUAUUAUUAUAUAUAAUUAAAGUAAUUAAAGUAUAUAUUAUAUAUAAUUAUAUAUAUUAUUAAUAUUUUAAUAUAUAUAUAUAUAGAGAGAGAGAGAGAGAAUUGAGCUCUAUGCUUUUAAAAGUACUAAGUCAUUGGUGCUUGUAAAUUUUUAGCCUUUCGAUUAAGGGAUGUGCGGUUAGGAUGGUAGUGGUCUCCUAAAGUUUAGUGAGUAGUUAAUUAAAUAAUAUGAUCUAACAUAUAGAAAUUGUCAAAGGAAUAGAUCCAACGGCAAAAAACAUAGAAGAACAAAGUCUUUGGUGCAUUGACAAGCACCAUAACCGUACUCUAAUAUAUAUACAUAUAUAGAGUGUGGCUACUAUACUAUUAAUAGUAUCAAGCUUUUGGUAUUAUCGAGUUUUCUGCCGUUAGAUCUACCCUUUGAUCAUUUCCACCCAUUAAAUUAUACUAUUCAACCAACCACCCACUCAACCCUAGGGGACCAUUAUCAUCUUAACCGCACACCUUUCCAGCCAACAGCCGAAAACUCGAUAGUACCAAGCACUUGGUUGUAAGGACUGAGAUUUUAGCAGUAUAGCUAAACUUUUUAUUGAUGAUGUUUUUGUGUGUAAUUUAAUUACAAAAGCACUCGUCAAGUUUCAGGAGAAACCGAGUUAGAAUGGAGAAGUUACGCGGUUAAUAGUAUUCACUUAAGUGAAUAGUAACUCCGGUUUUUCGGAGAAGCCACGGAGUAGAGUUGGCUUCUGGUGCGUAUCGGACUCCGUUCAUAGCGAUCCAAUAGCUCGUUUCGAACGGCUCAACUAUUUUGGACCUAAUAGCACUGACGGAAUUGGGUUCUGAUGUGUAGUUGUCGAGAAAAAGGGGUUUGAUUGAUUUACAUGUAUAUAUGUGGUUAUACGGUGGAAUGUAAUGAGGGUUGACUUCGUCGCAAAUCGGCGACCGAAUCAGGUUAAGCGAGAUGCUAGAUUCGAUGUCCCAGUCGUGAUGAACGCACUGGCGUGAUCCAUUCGGAAAUCCGACGGACGGAUCUUCGGAAAUUACGAGAUGUUCACCGAGGGGUCAAUUGAAGCAAAAUGGAAAAAAUCGUGAAAGGUCUAAUAUUUUAUGCGCCGUU
rnacentral:lncRNA from 1 species